AUCUCUCUCUGUGUCUUUCUCUCUCUCUAGUUAGUAAAGAACGGGCAACGUUUGCCAUGGAAGACUCUACAGUAUACAUAAGAGUCUACAGUGUACAUCCCAACCCUCUACGGCCGUUGCUGCUCCACCCGGGCAUUACCACAUCCACCCGGGUCUACAAGAAACCUCCACGGCCGAGCCUCAACCACAGAACACACCGCUACCGUUGAUGAGGUUCCACGCCCCGGACUACCGCCAUGUUAACCUCCAUAAUAGUCCUCGGCGCACUUGUUCUGAGACGUCCUGACUGGAGAGCUACACAACACUGGUCAUCCGCUGAGUGGUUGAAUUCCUGGUCUACCGGCCCCUGGAGGAGUGGUCGGUUGCCUGGUCUACUGUGGAUAUGAGUGGUUGAUUCCCUGGUCUACCCCUGGAUGACGCGGCUGUUCCUAUGCAGGGGAAGACUCACCCAAGCGAUAAGCACCCGUCGGACCUGGAGACUCCCCCCUGAGCCUGACGGUGGAGCUGUGGGCCCUGCACCAGACCCCCACCCCCCCCCACACCACCCACAGCAGGGGCAGGGCGUUGAGACUCCCCCCACAGGCUAAGACAGGGAGGGACUUGAAGAUCCGGGUUUUUGUCAUCUGCACAGGAGUUGACACGUGGUAUUUGGGAGCAAUGUCUAAGGUUCCGCCCAUGCAGCUGAAGGAUGCCAAUGCCUACACAUGCAUCGACCACAGGUGUGCGCUGGACAUUGCCUACAAUUCAUGGUGGAAAUGGGAGCGUCAGCGGAGAUCGAGCUGGCUGAAGGUUGGCAGCCGGGUCAAGCUCGCCUCGGACAAGGAGUUCUGUGAGAUGUGCUCGGCCGAUGUUGUUGACCUCGGCCACAUCAAUGUUACUAAGGUGGUGGAGGUGGGGAACGGCAUCUACAUUGACGACGGACUCAAGGAGAUCGCUGAGACUACUACUACUACUAUUACUAUUACUGUCCUCUAUACUGCUAUGUGUACUAUUAAAUCCUCUUUACUGCUACUAUGUGUACUAUUGAAUCCCUUACAUAGUACUUCCAUGACAGCUGAUGAGUAAUACUACUACUACUACUACUAUGACCACUCAAUCCCUGGUAAGUACAAUGUCAUUAUCAUUAUCAUUAUUUAGGUUAAGGUCCAUUUAUUUCAAUCUUCCUGAGCAGUUGGAUGCUUUAUGGCUCUCCUCCAUUCUACUCUGUCUUCUGCCCAAUGCUUCUACGGUCCUAUCAAUCCCAAGUCUUCCUGUACACCUUCUCCAUGUUUUCCUAGGUCUACCAACUGGUCUCCUUCCUUCUACCUCCAAUCUCUCCAACACUCCCAGCACUGUGUCCUCCCCUGCUCUGUUUACAUGUCCAAACCAUUGGAGUCUUUCCCUUCUGAGCACUGUUUCCAGGUCCUCUACUAAAACUCCCAGCACUGUGUCCUCCCCUGCUCUCUUUACAUGUCCAAACCAUCGGAGUCUUUCCCUUCUGAGCACUGUUUCCAGGUCCUCUACUAAAACUCCCAGCACUGUGUCCUCCCCUGCUCUCUUUACAUGUCUCUG